AAAUUAUCAAUUUAGCAAAAAACUGCAAUAAAUUUAGAAUUUAUUAUUUUCCCU
rnacentral:tRNA from 1 species